AUUUCCGAAUUUAGGUUUUCUCACCUAUUUGAUCAAAUAAUCCAAAAUUUAAAUAAAAUCCUAAAUGACUGAAGUAUCCAUCAUGCACCUGUUGGACAGAAUGGGCAAAUCAAUAAUUUCAAAUCCACAGACGCUAUAUAAAAUAUUAGGUUGGGGUUUUAGGGGUUCCUCUCCUCCGAAGCCGCCGUAAGUGCUCCAAGCCUCUCUUCUUCUCGUCGUCUUCUCUCUUCGCAGUGCAAAAUGGAAUCUGGGGUGAAGCAUGCUGUGGUGGUGAAAGUUAUGGGUCGAACUGGCUCAAGAGGUCAGGUGACCCAGGUGAGGGUGAAGUUUUUGGAUGACCAGAACAGGUUUAUUAUGAGGAAUGUGAAGGGACCUGUCAGAGAAGGAGACAUUCUCACUCUGCUCGAGUCUGAGAGGGAGGCCAGAAGGUUGCGUUGAUGGGGUCAUCUUUGGCUCCAUUUCCAUGUUUUGAUAGGUAUCUUAUGAGUUUUCCAGUUUCAAGCUUGUAGUUUUGGGUUUUUCAAAUUAAAAUUCUGUUUGAGGACGGGUUUUAGUUUUAUGUUUGGAAUGAAUUGGCUUAAUCGAACUCCAUGUUUUUUAAUGAUGCAACUUCUAGCUCAUAGAAUGGAGCAAGAUGUUGUUUCAUGUGGUUGUGAGCAUUUGAGUGUAAGCAUUCCCCAAUCACAUUUGGACAAAUAAUCAUAAUCAAUGGAUAUGUUAUUUCUGAUUU